GCUAGUGCGAAGAGGUCACCGGAUUCACGAAGUUGGCGUCAUCGACGAAGCCGUCAUCCUCGUCGUCGCUUGCUGAGAUAUCCUGCAUCGGCGCGGAGGUUGUUUACCGUUUCGUUAGAGGAGGUCGGGCAGGGACGGGCGUUCACCAUUUUGCACCAUGACGGCGGCAUACGACAAGAUUUCUUCUCCCGGCCGAUCUGUUUUUUUUCUUCCUCCUAGCAACUCACGAACAGGUGAGGAAUUCUAACUCCCAAAAUGAAAUUCUGAAUGCGUACACAUUCACAUAACAGAGUACCCUAUCUCUACUGGGCUUAGCACGCGUGUACAAGGCCCACAUGCACCUUUUUCUUUAAUAUUGUUUGUUAAUUGGUCCUUAGAAAUAGCAUGUGAUCUGUUAUUUGAUUAAUUAGCUCUAACUAGGACUUAAUAGAUUCAUUAGAAAUAAAUAAAGUAAUUAAAAAUGUUAGGUUAGAAAUAUUAAAAUCCUAAUUAGAAAUUGUUUGGUUAGAAUAAAAAAUUAGAAUAAAAUAUAGUUUUAGAAUUUUAAGUUAAUUAGAAAUAUUAGAAAUAUUCUUUUAAAUAUAAUUAGAAAUAUUAGCUUAGUUAGAAAUUGGAUGAGGUUUUAGAUUUAGAACUAAUUUAAUUAGGAUCUUAUAUUAGAAUUUAAUUUGAUAAACUAUAAUAAUUGAAAUUUGUUUUACCCAAGACAAAUCACGUCGCUUUCAUCGAUUUUAAAUAAUCCGAGCCGAUUUCAAAUAAAUCACAUACUUCUCGAUUCAAAGUCGAGCCAUUUUUUUCAAAUACCUUGUAAGUCGAUUGCUUUCAAGCACGCCGUCACUCACAUAGCUUACUCUUGGCUUUUUACAAUGAGAACCUAUUCGGUUAUUGAAUAAUCGAGUAGAUGAUGAUACACUAAAAUAAAAUUCAAUUUAUUCGCAAAUCCAAUUAAAACUUCGAUCCAACAUCGACAUUGUUAUGUAAAAUUAAUAAAAGUACCUAAUCACGAUUAAAUACCAUUUCAAAUUUGGAAAUAAAAAGGGAUGGUUUUGAGUUUUAAACUCCUCUCCUCGAUUAUUCAAAUACGAGUUCUUUACUCGUUAGUCGAAUAAUCGUCAUUUCUAAACCCACUUAGCAUUAUUAAAUCAAAAAAUCUUACAAUAAAUAAAAAUGUGAAAAGGGGAUGUUUGAGUUCAACUCCUCUCCUCGAUUAUUUGAAUACGAGUCUCUUACUGGUUGUCAAAUAAUUGUCAUUUUAUCCGCUUAAACAUAAACACAAUCAAACCGAAUCAUUUUGUAACAAUAAACCGAAAGAGAUAAUUUGAGUCUUCAAUUUUUUCUCCACGACUAGUGAAUACAAUUCUCUUACUUGGUUAGUCAAUUAUUAUCGUUCCUCUACAAACUUCCUAAACCCGAUUAAAUCAAAUAUUUUCAAAUGAGCUAAAAGAAAAAAUGGAGUUGACUUUGAGUUUUCAUUUCACUCCUCGUUGUUUGAACACGAGUUCUCUUACUCGGCAGUCAAGCAAUGUGUCCAUUUUUACAAUAAUAAAAACAUACAAUUUAAAUCACAAUCAUUUCAUAACAAACUGUACGAAAAGGGGGAGAGGUCUGUUCAAUUGCUCUUCUCAAGGCUUGGAUAUGAGUUGUUUACUCAUUCCCAUUCAGACACUUGUCGUUCAUCUCUAAAAAUACACACAUCCAUACAUUAAAACCGUAUUUCAUAAAUCACUCAGAUAAAAAAAAGUUGUCUAGAGCUCUUCUAUUCCCUUUCCAUAUUGGAUACGAUUGUCUUACUCGAUUAUCCGAGUAUUCGUAAUCCUUUUCAAACACUAAUUAUAUCCAAUUCCUUCUAAUACAGGUAAAAAAGAAGUGGUCUAGAGUGUUUAUUCCCUUCCCGACUUUAGGAUAUGAGUUGUCUUAUUCGAUAUCCGAAGUAAUCGUCAUCCAACCAAAAACAAUAUCAACCGAACAAAAUAUCCAACAUAUUAAUCCAACUAUCACCCUCGUGUGAUCAAACUCUUUUCAAAAGAACACUGUAAUUCUUCCUUUCUAACCGUGCACAACAAACACUAGUGCUUAAAGCCUCCGCCAGAGAGUAGACAGCCAACGUUUAGCUUUAGAGCAUGAUCUUAAAAUACGUGUAUCCUAAAAACCCACCAACCAACCGUAGUUCCCCGAACUACGAAUGCUCUGAUUCCUUAUUAUACCAUAAGCGAACGUAGGCAGGAGAUUGCUGUAUCUUCGCGAGCACACUAAUAAAAAACUCCCUUUCCUUUUCCGAGGUUCGCCAUCUAUUCAUUUCUAUAUUUUAUAACUAAAGAUAACAAACAAACAUAAAUGAAACACUCGGAAUUGAAAAAUUUAAAGAACUAAAAGUAUCCCGCUUGGUACAACGGAAUAAGGUGUAAUGACUCUUCCCCUUCGUAAUCCACUCCCGAACCCGAAUUGGUUUGCGACGCCAUUAUUCUAUUUCCUAAAGGUUUAUCGAUAUUUUCCUAUCCCUUUGUUUAGGAUAAUAAAGUUCGGUGGCGACUCUGUUCGAACAUUAAUUUUUCCGCGACCAUCGCGAGGAAUCGUAUUUUUCGAGAUCGAACAGAUGGCGACUCUGCUGGGGAAUAACUCGAAGCACAGGAGAGUGAAAACCUAAUGUAGUUCAAUUCUUAUUGUGUGUUAAUCUGUGUUUGUUCUGUUAUUUUCUAUUACUGCUAUUAUUAUUCUGUCAUAAUUAUAUAUUGUGAUUUAUUGACUAUGUCUUAUUGGGGCCUCUGGUUAGUGAUACUUUGUAGAUAGGCUCUCCACCGAGUCUGAGAAAAACCAUAGAUUAUUUGGUGGUUGCGAUAGUGGGCGCCCACAAGGAGUCUCCUUGUUGGGGAAGAUACGAAGACCCCGUCCUAGAGGAGAUUUCUCUUGAGAUUUAUUGCCCCGACGAGUUUUCGUCACGACAAUAGUUUCUCAAGUUGGUAUCAAUGACUCUAGGAGACCUUUUACCAUCUAUCCGGCGGUUAUUAGUAUUAACCUACGAAGUUCAGAACUUGUUGGGUUAAUACGAAAGCCCCAAUCAGAUGAGAUCCCUUGGACGUAUUACUAUCUUACAGUAAUAUUUCCAACCUCGAUCUAUGACUCUGAGAACCUUGUUAGAACCUUGGACUCAAGAGUUGUGUAGUAGAAUCCCCAUGGAGCCUUCCUUGUUGGGAUAAUACGAAGACCUCACCUAGACGAUAUCUUCUUAAGGAUAUUAUUGUCCGACGAGUCUUCGUCACGACAGUGACGUUCUCGAGAAAUAUCUGUGACUCUAGGAACCUACCAACUGUAGAGCCUACCCCUGGGGUUACAUUAAUCAGAGAUACUCGCCGUUUACCCGUUAUGCUGAUCCAUCUUAGAACACCUUGAACUUGUGAUCCUAAACAUGUCACUACAUUCAUACACAUAUCAUUACAUUUUCAUUCAUCAUCAUAAAUUUCAUAUCAUUUUCCACGAAAAAAAAUAUACCAAAAAACUCAUUUGUCCUUCGUCCAUAACCUGUAGUUGAUUUCCCGACACUCAUAUCAGACUUAAAGUAGCUCUUGAAAGAUCAUGGAUCCGUUGGAGCAAAGUCAUAUCGCAUUGAGAGGAGAUGUGGACUCGAUGAAAAAUCAGCUAGACCAACUUGUGGAAGCUAUGCUAGUUUUAGCAAAGAAGGAAGACAACAUUCAGCAGACUGCAGUUGUUGAGAAUGUUAUGCUAGCUACAGUAAAUGGUCUUACCCAACCUCAACUUGUGCAAACCCCAGUUGAUAACUCUAUUGUACUCUACUGUUCAGACAGGAAGACAUCCUCAACACUGGCAAUGGUUGGACUGAUUUGUUUCUAUUUUUGCAUUUGUAGUUUCUUUGUUGUUAAAAGCUGCUUGUGUUUAAACAUUGUUGUUUUUAAUGGUAAUAUUGAACUUCAUUACUACGUACAAAACUUAAUUAAUACUCGCAUUCGCUCAUUUUUUUCUUCUCUUAUAUCAAAAACAAAAAAUACAUCAGUGUUUCUCCCAUUCACUUUUCUUUAUCAUAACUUUUGUUUUGGCAAAGAUUUGAGGGAGGAUGAUGAAAACAAGAUACCCAUAAUUGCUGACUACAUGCUUUCAGAUAAAAUCCUGCUGAUGAUGUACAGGCAUUGUUUCAAAAUCCCAAACACUAGAGAGAUAAGGAGUUAAUCCCUAGUCAACCACUUCGAGCCUAGAAGUAGGAGUUUCUUUCGAAUCUAAAAAAAAAUGUUACAUUUAACCUGGGGAAGGGUAGUGUUCAGUUAAUCUAACUAUGCAUUCAAAUUACAAGAUGAAAUAUCUCGUCUGUGGAUCAACUACAUGACAUUCUUCGCACACAGCCUAAAGUGUCGAAGGAACCUUGAAAAAUCAAAAUGUUAUGACGGUUGUUCUUCAAUGACCAAUGACUUGGCAGUCACAUUCUAAAAAAGGGAAUCAAUAAAAAGCCCGCUAAGUCGAUACCCCAAAAGGAGACAUUAGGGCAAAAACCGGGCAAUCUCGAUGACUAAAGCUUCAAAAAGCCGGUCCAUGCAAAAGUUAGAAUCAAAACAAACUCAAAUGAGGUCACAAAACCUUCAACAAAAUAAAAAAAAGAUUUAGUGACCACCAUAUCAAGAAUCAAAGGGUCACCAAUAUCCAUGGAAGGCAAAAUAAAGUUGUCUGUCAAUUUCAAACGAGAUCUACACCUACAAAACUCUUCUUAAAAGUGAUAUGUAUGGUUGAAUUAACUGAGCAUAGGACUGGAGUUUAUCAAGAAGAAGGGUGGGUACAGAAACAAUUUUGAGCCUCAUAUCCUUUGUUUCGAUAACCGUGAACCAAGCCACGUUACAACCCUUAAAAGACCUAAUUGAAGCAGGGUUUAUUCUGAAAGCAUACUACAACAAGGUUGCGUAAACUGACUCCUAAAAAUUUGCUAAUCUUUUACUUUGGUACAAUCUUCUUGUUGUAUCCUUCACAUUGUUAAAUCAUCAUUGCGUUUGGAUUGAAAUGGUUCAUUCGCCACACACUAUCACAUCAUUUCAAUAAUAAUUCUUUUCAACACCUGCAUGAGUAUCGCAUUAAAAUUACCGUUUCUGAAUAAACAAUUUCAACUGCAAGUCAGUACUUGACGUCAGGGAAAUUUCAACAAAGAGCAAUCAGAGAAGCUUGACCAUGUAUCAGAAUCAAGACUUCCUCCUAACCCACGAAUCAGGUGCAUGCCACCCAAAACAUCAAGUUGGUCACAGGAAAAUUACUCCAAGAAUUGGUCAGUCUUAAACAGUCUUUAACAUUUGUUAAUAAAUGUACAAAUCAUUUCAAGAAUCAGUUGAUCUAGAGCAAAUCAUCUCAGGAAUCUAUUAACUGGGGCAGAUCACCUAGAGGUUCUGGUGGCCAGGGGCAGACCCAUUCAAUGUUCAGUUAGGGUGAGUUAAGUCGCUUCAAUGCUCAUACCGGGGCAAGCUACCUCAAGAGCACAGAAAGUCAACCACUCCAAGAGUCGGUUAACCAAGGAUAAAUCCUUUCAUGGAUCAAAAUUCUGGGGCAAUUCAUCUCCAAAUUAUGGUACAAUUGCUUUCAAAUCCUUUCGAGGUAAACAUUUUGCAUAGACCCAUCACAUUGGGGCAAGAUGAGCCAUACAGGAGCGAGUCCUCUCCAUGUUUUCAAGCAGUUCAAGCAAAACCUUUUUCGCACGUAAUCAACUGCAAAGUUCAAGAUGAGUGUCGGGGAAUUAUGAUACCACCCCAUAAAAUAACCUGUUGACAAAUAGAAGCCUUUCUGCAAAGAACCUUCUCUUCCAAUGCCCGCGCAGGGGCAUUUUAGAAACCUUCCAAUCAUUACAUAAAUCAUCAUCAUGCAUUAGUCAUGUCGCUUUGCUCUAGCAUAAAGCCAUGCAUUUCAUAUCAUUUAUCAUGCAUAACCCAUAACAUGAACCUGACAUCAAAAAGCCUUGAAACCCAAAAUCUGACGCCAAAGUUCAAUUCUCGUUUGGCAACCUUUUUCAAAAGCCCAGUUCCCGUCUGGCAAUUUAUUUCAAAGCCCAGUUCUCGCCUGGAAGUUUAUUUCAAAGUCCAGUUCCCGUCUGGCAAUUUAUUUCAAAGCCCAGUUUCCGUCUGGCAACCUUUUUCAAAGCCCAGCUCCCGUAUGGCAACUUAUGUCGAUACCAGUUCUCGUAUGGUAGUCAAUUAUUUUCACCAGUUCUUGUCUGGUAGCCUUUUUUUUUUGAAAAGUCCAAUUCUCGUCUGGCGAUUAAUUUCCAAAGUCCAGUUCCCGUCUGGCAAUUUAUUUCAAAGCCCAGUUCUCGUCUGGCAACCUUUUGCAAAAGCCCAAUUCUCGUUUGGCAAUUUAUUUCAAAGCCCAGUUCCCGUCUGGCAAUUUAUUACGAAGUCCAGUUCUCGCCUGGAAAUUUAUUUCGAAGUCCAAUUCUCGUCUGGCAACUUAUUCCAAAGUCCAGUUCCCGUCUGGCAAACUAUAUCAAAAAUCAGUUCUUGUACGACAAAUCAUUUUCCAAAUACCAAUUCUCGUCUGGUAAAUUAUCUCUUAAAUACCAAUUCUCGUCUGGUAAAUUAUCUCUUAAAUACCAGUUCUCGUCUGGUAAAUUAUCUCUUAAUACCAGUUCUCGUCUGGUAGGUCACCUAUUUCAAUACCAGUUCUCGUCUGGUAGUCAAUUAUUUUCACCAGUUCUCGUCUGGUAGCCUACUCUAAAAAUCAGUUCCUAUCUGACAAACAAAAACAAAUUCAGUCCCAUCUGACAUUUCAAUCAUUUUCGCCAGUUCGCGUCUGGUAACAUAUCCUUCAAGUCUGCCCUCAUCUGGAAGUUCAAAUCCUUUUCACCAGUUCUCAUCUGGCAUUUCCUAUUUAAAGUCCAAUCUCAUUGGCAAUCAAGAAUAAAACCCUACAAAAGCACAAUUACCCAGUUGCAUUCCCACAUGCAUCACACGAAUCAUCCAUACAUGGUUUUCCUACCAAACAGAAAAUUCGAAAAAACACAGUCAUAUCAAUCAUCAGCAUACUUAUGCAUAAACCUUAUACAAAAUAAAAAUCAUUCGCAUUCCUACAUGCACAACCAAAUAUCCCCAGCAAUUGCAUACUUGCAUGCAUCUCAUGCAUCAUCCCAUGCAUGGUAUUCCCACCUAAAGUGGAACAUCAUACAAAAAUCAAAUAUAAAAUAACAAGAUUCAAGGUCAUUCGUGUAUAUCUUGGACAUUCCUCAUUUCCAAAUGAAGUUAUUACCCUACAUAGGCUCGUAGGGUUAUUUCUCAGCAAAUCACUUUUCAACUUUUUUAAUAAUGAUAUUCCCAACACUUUUCUUUACAAUCAUUGCUCCCCAAACAGAGGUUACCCUAAAAAGUCUCUUAUGAGCUUUUCCCCUACAGAGCACUCCUAGUAGAUCUCCCUCCAAAGGAGUCUUUUCAAAAUUUCCCCCCAACAGACGAAUAUUCGAGACACUGAUUCAUUUAUCUGAAGAAUCUCAUUUAUCUGUUCGAGAUACUGCUUCAUUUAUUUGGAGAGUCUCAUUUAUCAGUUUGAGACGCUGCUUCAUCAAUAUGAAGAGUCUCAUUUUAUUCGAGAUACUGUUUCAUUUAUCUGAAGAGUCUCAUUUCAAAUUUUUUAGAGAUACUGCUCUAAGUAUCCUCGGAAAGUCUUAGAUUUAAUUAAGGUAUUUUUCCCUUGCUGGAAUAUCUUAAUUCUAUCAUAUAAGAUUUUGUUUCGACCCGAUACAGAGAAUCUCAUUUUUACUGUUCGAGAUACUGCUUCAUCAAUAUGAAUAGUCUCAUUUCAGAAUUUUGUAGAGAUAAGGCUCUAAGUAUCCUCGGAAAGUCUUAGAUUCAAUUAAGGUAUUUUUCCCUUGCUGGAAUAUGUUAAUUCUAUCAUAUAAGAUGCUGUUUCGACCCGAUACAGAGAAUCUCAUUUUUUACCGUUUGAGAUGCAGCUUCAUCAAUGUGAAGAGUCUCAUUUCAGAUCUUUUUAGAGAUACUGCUCUAAGUAUCCUCGGAAAGUCUUAGAUUCAAUUAAGGUAUUUUUCCUUUGCUGGAAUAUUUUAAUUCUAUCAUAUAAGAUGCUGUUUCGACUCGAUACAGAGAAUCUCAUUUUUACUGUUCGAGAUACUGCUUCAUCAAUAUGAAGAGUCUCAUUUCAGAAUUUUUUCGAGAUACUGCUUUAAGUAUCCUCGGAAAGUCUUAGAUUCAAUUAAGGUAUUUUUCCCUUGCUGGAAUAUCUUAAUUCUAUCAUAUAAGAUGCUGUUUCGACCCGAUACAGAGAAUCUCAUUUUUUACUGUUUGAGAUGCUGCUUCAUCAAUGUGAAGAGUCUCAUUCAGAUCUUUUUAGAGAUACUGCUCUAAGUAUCCUCGGAAAGUCUUAGAUUUAAUUAAGGUAUUUUUCCUUUGCUGGAAUAUUUUAAUUCUAUCAUAUAAGAUGUUGUUUUGACUCGAUACAGAGAAUCUCUAUUUUACUUUUUGAGAUACUGCUUCAUCAAUAUGAAGAGUCUCAUUUCAGAUUUUUUUUAGAGAUACUGCUCUAAUAUCCUCGGAGAGUCUUAGAUUCAAUUAAGGUAUCAUUCCCUUGCUCGGAAUAUCUUAAUUCUAUCAUAUAAGAUGUCGUUUCGACCCAAUACAGAGAAUCUCACUUUUUAUUGCUGAGAUGCUGCUUCAUCGAUAUGAAGAGUCUCAUGCCACAUUUUCUUUAUACUGCCCUAGCAUCCUGAAAAAAUCUUGAGAUUUAGCUAGGGAUGUCAUUCCAUUACUAACAUAUCUCGACUAUGACGUCCAAGAUACUGUUCUGACGACUCCUAGAAAGUCUUGACUGUUCCAUUUUAUUGUGGGAUAAUGUCUUUUGCCAUUUCUCAACCCCUUUUCUUCCUGCAUUUUCUUCCUUUCAUUUCCUAGGACAAAAUCUGGGUCUUCUUGUAUUUAAUUAUCUCCUACCGUGAAUGUGUAAAGACUACUGUCAUUAUCACUUACCGGUUUGAGGUAAUUAAAUAGGGGCAGCUGUCAUACCCCAAUUUUGUCCGGCCAUUUCCAUGAGACCGACAGCCAAACAUCUAGAGGCAAUAGGAAUGUCGAGCGCUGACAGUGCUGUCAUAAGCCAAAGUGAAAAGCAUUUUGCCACAUUGAAAAUUGCAUAUCGACAAUUAGUCAUUUGUUAAUGGUGAUUAAGUGAUUAAGUGAGAUUAACCUAAUGAACAGAAGCAAAUCACCAAUUCAAAUUCUCAAUUAAACUAACAAACGUUUUUCCCCCUCACAAUCUUCCAAAAUCCAAAAAUCCAUUCCACAUUUGACAAACUCGCAAUUCAUCAAAGCGCAAAUCCUUUGCUCAUCUCCAUCAGACCACUCAACGUUGCGAUUGAGCAAGAAAAGCAUUGAUUCGGACGUCACAUCAUGCUCACACAAGGGAUGUGGAGAUUCACAUCGAAUCGGGCUGACUGAAGACAAUCCAACAACUCCUAAAGCUUCCUCAUCGUGUAAGCGGCCAAAACCUAAGACCAGCGCCACACUUCAAGUAGUUGCGAAUCUCAUGGUCUGAAUGAUAGCAGAUAGGAUCAUUAUAAGGAGAUCAACGGAUAGUGUAUUGGAAAAUUGACGAGAGAGAGAAUCGCGAUUUGAAGAGUUUGUAUAAUUGAAUCGAUCGAUACCGUUUGAUGUUAAGGAAAGGUUAAAAUAGUAGGUAUUCAUCAUGUACAUGUGAGACGUUUCUUUUUGAAGAUAAUUUGUGCAUUGUUGAGAUUUUGGUAGUCAAUUUUCUGGAACGUUGUUGUUGAUGACAAGAAGAUGCUGAUAGCGUGACCCAGAAAGCAUCCAUUUGAAAUGUUUGCGCGCGCCAGGACCCAAUCAAAAACAUCGUCCACGACCAAACGACGGUCGUUUGGCUGUGCAUUAAAAUUUACGAGAAGCCAUGCAUAUGAAUAAAUAUACAUUUAUUUCUUUCUAUUUCAUUUUUUAGUGAACUAGAAAAUGAUAACUCACUCAAAAAUUCAUCCAAUUUUAUGAAGUUGCUCGCAGCUCAUGAAAUUAGAAUUAUGGUGAUUUUCGGAAGUUGCACCGGAAAAUAAUGCAUGACUGUUCAUGGUACAUGUUUGAUUUGCCAAACUGAAGAAACUCAUACCGUAAGAAAGAAUGAAAAUUUGCUACGGACAUUGAUGUGAUCAGUAAAAAGUUGUGAAUUGGAAACUUGGUUAUAGAUAGAAUUUGAUAAGGUACAAGUCACCAACAAGGUCAACUUCGAUAGUUGCCUGGCCAGAAAUGGUGCUUGCGCCAAUUCUUUGCAUAAGAUCAUGAUAUGUCAAGAGAACCAGUGAAUUUGCUUGAUUGUUGCAUUUCACUGAUAGAUAAUAAUUCCUGUAAGGCUCAUUGGUAACCUGGACACAUGUGGAUUGCUGGGAAAUGCCAAUGAGGAUAAGAAACAUGAUAGGAGCCAUUCAACACAUUAUAGGACAUCAAGGGUGCUCCCAUUUUCAAUUUCAAAUUUCACGGUUGAGAUAAAGGAAGAUGAGGCUAGUGGAUGCUGAAUGUUAUAUUGUGUCUGGAUAUUAGUUCAUGCCCUAACUUCUUUUGUCCAAUGAGCUGAAAAGACAUGCAUACAUGAAGGUCCUGUUAGGUGAAUUUUGUGGCAUAAUGAAUGAUGGUAUGCUUUCAAGUAGAUAGUUCGUUUCAUGAAUGCAAAAUUACAUGAUUGAUGUAAUUGUGCAUGAAAUGAAAUGGAAGGAAGAGCAGGACAAUUGCAGGUGCGCAAAUUGUAAUGUGAUUUUGUGGUGUGUACUGCGGUUUGAAUUUUUAUCCCUUUGACUAGGCGUGCCUAGUGUCUAGUUCUCACAUUGGUUGGAUUUCACGGAUGAAAGGCACAAUGCUAAGAAUGCUUCAAGGAAAGUUAAGAGUUGGUUGAUGUAGAACAACUUGAUUGUGUGUAGGAUUAAAGCGUGAGCUGGGAUAUAGCUGCACUUAUGCAUUAACUGUGUUCUGACAGAUAAUAGUGGACUUUGCUUUACUUGUGUGCUGAGUAAACUAAUGAUACUGAUACUCAGUACAUUAGCGCGUAGCAGUUCUUUAAGACUGGCUCGCUUGCGGUAAACGCAAUUAGGAGGACUACUCCAUGUAGUCUUGAAACUGGCCGUUCUUCGUGCCAGGCAACUGUCUAUCGCCCUAAGAGGCGAUGUUGUGGUUGUUUACAUUGUGCCCAAGCAGGUAAAGACCUCUAUGAGGCAAUUGGGCGAUCCAUAGGGAUUAACAAACUACCCCGUAUUCUGUGCAGUUCUCCUCUGCUCGACACGGCUUGUGUUAUGCAUGGGACACAAACCCAAGAUCUUGGCUGUGCAGCAAUCGAGUCAAGUCUUGAGCUAGAAGGGUCCCUCCAUUCCGACCCACGCUCCUUGCGAAGCUCUCCCUGGUCAGGGAUAGAGACUGGAAGUCUAAAUCGCCACUACUCAUCUGCUCACCUUAGCUCUCGCAAUGCAAGGUCUAAUAGCGAAUAAGACCAUGUACAGAUGACGUUGCUCGGCCAGCAAAACCAUGUUGAGCCCACUGACUGGUAUAUUGUGCUAUGGAAUAGUGCUUGAAAGGUGUUUGAUGUUGAUGCUGCAGCUGUCUCCUGGAUAGGAUAGCGCAGUUGUGCGAGUAGUAGAAACCUCACGUAGGGCAAUGAUGCAUACAACACAGGCCGGUACAGCUCCCUGUCAGUGUGUUCUCCCUUGGUUCUGGCUAGAUUUCUUUCCAUUGAAGGGGACGUACCGCCCUGAAUCCUCAUACCAGCAUGAGGUACAGGCAGGAGACCGUCGCGAGGUCUCCCGGGCACCUUUCUUUAGUGCGUGGUUUUGCAGCACAGGCUCGAGUCCCGACGCCGUGUUAGUCUGUGGCCGUCUUCGAGCGUCUCAGCGUCUCUCUGGCUUGCUUGAUGACUGUAGGCUCGAGUCCAGACUCCUACCUAUUGCAUUCUUUUUGCUUCCUUCAAGGAACACAAUCGCCCUGACACUCCAGAGAGGAUGUAGCAGAGACCGGCGAGGGUCCUCCGGCACUUUUUCUUUUGUGGUGUGUUAUUCUUGUUAUCUUUGCUGUUGUCAGGAAGUGGACGUAAGCCCAGCGAUGCUUACGUAUCCUAUGUGUUGUUUGGUUCGGUAGUUACGUAAUCCCAUCGAGUGUUGUCGGUCGAGGUUGCCCUUGGUGGGGUCUGUUGGCGGUGAGCCGAACAAUACGCAGCUCUGAUUCUCCGUCCAGACCGAAGAUACGUAGCAUAGGAUGUGAUUCCACGACUCCCUUCCCUCCCACUCCCACGAUGUGUGUCUUCGGGUGCGUGUGUGGGUGAUGUUUUUAGCAACCUCAUCUUCUUAGAGCGGACCCCGUCGAGUACGACGGAACGUGAGGGUGCUAACCUCCGCCUCGCUAACCGACUCCUACUCUUCCUUUGGUCAGCGAGACAGCUUUCCCAGGUCUCUGACGGUUGCGCUUCCAUCUUGGGAUAAAUAACGGCGCAGUGCGGCAUCUGUGUUGUUUUUGUUCCCAGCCCGCCGGUGUUUUCGCGGCAUGCGAUAUGCCGACUCUGCGGGGAAUUCUGGAUGUUGACCGUGGCGGUGGUCCAUCUCUCUAAGCGAAGCCUCCUAGCGUUCUAGGAAGUUUAGGUGCUUUGCCGCUAAUUGCAUUUAGUAUCUAACCUGUGUAAAUAUGCAUAAAUAUUUGCAUGCAUCAUACUAUCAUUUCGGUCGGCAGUGGUUCCUCUGUUUUUGGGGUGGGUGUCGAGGGGGUAAACCAGGCCCCGAGUGCGUACACCUAGAAUUAGGGCCAUGUGUUAACACCCCAGAGAAAAUAAGAGAUAUUAAAUAGGGGGUAAGUUAUAGAAAUGUAUAAUAAUUAAAUAGACUUGAUAUAGUGGAUAUUAUUAUAUAUGUUGAAUAAUAAUUAUGGAAAAUAUAUAAGUUGGAAUAUGAAAAAGGGUUUCAUUUGAAAGAAGUUCACGUGAAACUAGAGAAGCGGCCUGAAAAAGGGAUAAAGUGGAGAAAGGGCAAAGAGAACGCAGAGAGCAAAGUUGAAGACGGAAAAGCUUGAAGCUUAGAGAGGAGAUUGCCUGAUAAUCUUCAGAAGGGGUUAAUCGCGUUAAUGGGUAUAAAAUAGAUACAGGUAGUGGCGUAUGAUAAACCGUUGAAGGUGACCCCCUAAGGAAUUGAAUCGAAAUACUGUGAGAAUAAUGUAUUAAACUGUAAUGGAGUCCGAAAUGUGAUGUUCCCGUCCGAACGUAUAGCUUUUGAACGGAAAAUUGAAUCGAGGUCCGGAAGUCCUCCGCAACGGCGAAAUGCGAAACUGGCAUCUGCCUUGUUAAGCGGCAGGAACUGCUGUUUUGUCUGCGUUAACCGUUAACACAGGCGUAACCGGUUAACACGUUAAUUUGUUGGAAUGUGCUGUUGGCCUGCGUAACGGUACCAGGGUCUUAACGCGGUACACCGUUGCUUUUGGCCAAGAAAGUGUGUUGCCCUGCUCACUCGUUAACCCAGGGCGUUAACACCGUAACACUGUUGGAAUUGAAAAAUGAUGAUUUUAAUGUGUGACACUAAUGGCGAUUGUCAUAUGCGUAAUUGUGAAGAUUGUUGGGUAUGUAUGAGGGUAUACCAGUAUAAUGAGUUGGUAAGCUUGCUUCCGUAACGAAAAGUUGUUAAAAAACUGAGUGUAGCGAUGAGCCAAAUGAUUAUAAGUGAUUAUGUUGAAAACCUGUGUGUUGUUAUGUGUAUAAUGUGUGGGAAUUUAAGCGUGUAGCCAGUAACAUCAUAGGCCAUCAGAGCGAGCUUGCCACACUCACGUUGGCGCGGAUGGCAAAAUUUAAGUUGAAAAGGAAGCUAGCCUGAUGCAAUAAAAUGCAUAAUUGAGUUUAAGUUGGAGAGUUUACUCCGAUGUACCACAUGUAGACGAUCAGUCCAUUUGAUGCAUUUAUGUUGAGUGAGUAUGAUAAUUGGAUUGAUGUGCCGUUACGGAACUGUGUAAAUCUCAUUGGGUGAUGAACCGUGUAAUACUUAGCAUACAUAUGAUAUAAGCUUAUAACGAUGAAGAACCACCCUAACAACUAUUUGUCAGGAACGAGCAGUGAUUGAGUAGAAGCUAGUGCUGAGCUAGUGUAGUUCGCGUAGUGGGUCAUGCUCUGAUAGAUGUAACAUCGGACGGGAUGUUUUUAAUUGUUUGAUAUACAUGUAAGCUGUAUAGUUUGAAGUUGGUUUGAUUUUAUCCGUGCGAAUUAUGCAUAAAAUGUAUUUUGAUUAAUAAUGAGCAUCGAAGGAAUUUUAUGGUGAAUGUGUGAAGUGUGUGUAGCACCUUGUGGUGCAUAAAUACUCGAGUAAUUAUUGUAUGUAUUUUUAAUUGAAAUAUUUUGGGGUAUUUAGAAAGGGUGUUACAUUAGUGGAACAGAGCCAGGUCGGCUCGUCCGGCCCAUUUGUCGUUACGCUAACAACUUGUGUAUGUUCCAACUAAACUUAAUUGCUGUUUGUAUGAUAAGUUUAAAUGCUGGAAGGAAGACGGCAAUGCUGCCGCAAUGCAAGCGAUGGCACAACUGUGCAGAAACGUGCAAAAUGCUGGGGAUGCGAUCACGUAGCUUGGCGAUUUCAGAGAAGAAUCCCCGGUGUUAAAAGGAAGCAGGAUCCAGAGGCAGCCUGGUGAUGGGAAGAGAUGGAAGAACUCCGUGCAUGGAAGCACGUCCAGCUCAAAGGUUCGUAUGCUCACAUUGCAGCACGAAGCUGAUUGACUGGCUAGAGAAGCAGAAGGACCCCGUGGCAUUGAAGCAUUAACGUGGAUGUAUCCGAGGAAGUCCAUGGAGAAAGAACCGGAAGAUAGUCCGGGUAAAAGGAAAUGAGCUUCCUUGAUGAACAAGGAAACAUGCUGCACGAUUAUCUGCGAAAUUGUGGAGUUGCCAAAUUUAUCGCGCAUUACACUGUGCUGUGCGAAUCAAAGUGCAUCAAGUUGAAAACGGACGCGUCUGAAAUUAAGAAGGCUGUUGGGUAAAAAGAUACACAUUUACUCGAAUUGGUGAUAGCUGCGAGGAUAUUUGAAGAAGACAAUAAGCUCUUACAAGAGUCAUUGACUCGAGGGCAAGCAACAUCAAAAACGUGAAAGCCGUAUGACCCCGUGGAAAAGGGAAAAAGGAGCUGCCCGCUCAGAAGACCCAGAGGCGGAGGUGCUCAUGCUGUAUGUUGCUUCAAAUGGGCAGGGCUGUCAAAUAGAGUAAUAUGCACUGCUGAAUAAAGAGAUGAUUUCGUGUGAAGACGUCAGGCAAAGCUGAUUCAGACAAGGAAAUAGUGUUUUUAAUUGCGGCGAAAGAGGGCAUAUGAAGUCAAGUGUCAGAAGCCAAAGAAAGCUCAGACUGAACGUGGUCGCAUAUUACCGGAACUCAAACCUCCAGUGAAGACAGACUUAUCGAGGUACGUGUAUAAUGGCUUCCUGAGCCAAUUAUGACACAGUCACUCAUCCUUUACUGGAUGUGCGUAAACUAAGUUAGAGGUCAACCUCCCAAUGUCCGAUCCAUUUUGGUUAAUCCAGAGAUCUUUGCUUCAAAAUCCCAUAUUUAGAAUUGCAUGUUUAAGAAACUGUAGUUUUUAAAAGUAAAAUCUCCUAUUUAGAUUGUAUGUAAAAUAGAAGUGGUUUGGAAAUAAAGGGUAGUCCAAUUAAACUUUGAUAAAAUAGAAGGUUUUUAAUAAAAGUUCCAAUUAUAUCGUGUAUAAAAUUAGAAGUGGUUUAAAUAAAACCAUAUUAUUUUGUUAAAAGAAUGUGUCUAAAAUUAAAGUCACAUCUAGUUAAUUUGUGCUGAAACUUAGAAAUUGUUGUUUUUUAAUGAGACUAAUAGUCUUGUACUAAUUAAAUUCUUUAAAAUAUAGAUGCAUUAUACUUAAAAGUAAAACUUGGUUUGUUUUUAAAAUAAUCAUUAUACUUUUAAAUAAAUUGUUUUUGAUGUUAAAAUGAAGUCAUACUUAAAGAUAGAAUCUUGUUUUUAAAUAAGUCAUUAUUCAGUGUAAACAUUACUUAAAAUUAAGAAAUUGUUUUAAAUAAAUCAUAGUCUUUAAGAAUAAAAUUGUUUGUUUUUAAAUUAAGCAUUAUAAUUAAAAUAGAAAUUGUUUUAAGUCAUAUAUUAUACAUGUUGAAUUAUCUUAUUAUACUAAUGUUGAAAUUGAGUUUAGUUUUUUGAAAAUGAAAUUGAUAGCAUAAAAUACUAUGGAGCUUAAAUUUUUGACAAGUGUUAAAAAUAAAUACAUAUUAAAAUUAAUCACAAUAAUCUCUCAUAAAAGAUUCCACACAAUAUAAAAAAAAAACCUAAGAAAGAUCCUUGGCUGAUAGUCAAAAAAUAGUUCAAUAGUUCUAAAAAAAAAAGGAAAGUUUAAAAUUAAUUUGCAUACUAAAAAGAGGAGAGACUAAUUACACAAAAAAUGCACAAAGAGUGAUAAUCCAAAGGGACCAAAUGCAUAAGAACAAGGUUACACUUGAUACCCAACUUCAAAUAGCAGUAUCUAAAUCAGAUCCAAAUUUCUAAAUCCCAAGUAUAUUACAGAGUUUGGAAGGAUUAAUAAAAUAUUGGAAAUUUGGAAUAAGCGAAACAACAGCGUUGAAGCAAAUUUCAAAGACUCUCCAAAUCUGAAGUUCCCCCAAUCAAAACAAACUCUCAGAAUUUCCGAAAACCUGUGAAGUACGCCUCCCCUUUUCAACUCAAUCACANNNNNNNNNNNNNNNNNNNNNNNNNAAUCAGCAUCAACAUCACUUUCACUUCACCUGCAAAACCAAUUCAAAAUUAAAAACAGCUUAUCAAAUAAGCACUUAAAAAUCUGGAAAAUAAUUAAUAGAAAGAGCAUAUUAAUAUGUUACACAAUGAAUCAAAGGAAGCGCUCAGAAACACACUGCAUUAUCAAAUAAACAACUUUAAAUCCAUAGAUUAAUCAUCCCACAAAAUCUGGAAAUAGGAUCCAACAAGUUGUCUCAGAAACCAACAUUCAUGUAUAUAAACCACAAAACUAAUUAACAGUAACACGUUUUGAUAAAAAUCCAAAAGAAAUUUUCCAAGUUUUUUUUCUCUGUUAACUCCAAAGAGACACAACACAGUAAGCUAUUUCUUCUAAAAAACCUUAAACCACAACAACAACAAAGAAUCACUUUUUUUCCUAAAACCAGAACGGCAUGGCAAGAACAAACGCAGCAAAGCUUUUUUUUUCAAAACUCUAAAACAACAACAGCAACCACACACAAAGCUAUUUCUUCUAAAAACCCUAGAACACACAACAUAAACAUAGCAAAAAAAGCAAUUCUUCUCAAAGAGCACCAUAAUCACACCUUACCAGAAGCAGAUCGAUAGUGAAAGAAAAGUAAGAGGAAGGAGUGGCUAGUGCGAAGAGGUCACCGGAUUCACGAAGUUGGCGUCAUCGACGAAGCCGUCAUCCUCGUCGUCGCUUGCUGAGAUAUCCUGCAUCGGCGCGGAGGUUUGUUUACCGUUUCGGUUAGAGGAGGUCGGAGCAGGGAGCGCGGCGGUUUCACCAUUUUGGCACCAUUGACGGCGGCGAUACGACAAGAUUCUUCUCCCGGCCGAUCUGUUUUUUUUCUUCCUCCUAGCAACUCACUGAACAGGUGAGGAAUUCUAACUUCACCAAAA
rnacentral:lncRNA from 1 species